CUUAAACUCGAAGAAGCACUUGUAGAUGAGAUUGAUAGACCACUUUAGCCUUCAAGAUUGAUAAAAACUAUAAUAUUAAACAAUCCAUUUUCUGAUAUCAUACCAAGAAUAAUAGUAUAGAAACGUGAAGAAGUAAAGGACAAUUCAAAAACUAAAGCAGCAUCGAUAUUUCAAUCUUUUAUCAUUUGGUGAAGAAGCAGG